GCCUUAUUGCGCUUGCUUUGCUCUACACGCACGAAGAGCAGAACCCCAACAUGAGCGAGUCUUUUCUAUACGAGUGUCUUUGGGAUCUCGGAACGCACUUUCGCGCCACUCAUAAAAGUGCAAAGAUCCUUUCCCUUCAAGGCCGUAACCUUCUCAGAUUGUUUACGCGGAUGCUUCCUUCGAAAAACCGACUCGGCACUGUAUUCCUUGAAGAGGCGUUAAAGAUAGACUACUUUUUUCACACUAAUGUUGACGAAGUGGAAUUAAAACGUUUGUGUGUAGCGUGUGGAGAGCAGCAAGACCCGCAGCGCGCUCUUUUUUAUUGCAGCAAAAUGGUUAAACAGAUGCAAGAUUCUAAAAAGGCGCCAAUUUCUUUCUACAGGAUUUUGCGCUCUCUCCUUAUAUAUAUUCUAGCGAAG